AACGAACGCUGGCGGCAUGCCUAACACAUGCAAGUCGAACGAAGCCUUCGGGCUUAGUGGCGCACGGGUGCGUAACGCGUGGGAAUCUGCCCUUGGGUUCGGAAUAACAGUUAGAAAUGACUGCUAAUACCGGAUGAUGACGUAAGUCCAAAGAUUUAUCGCCCAGGGAUGAGCCCGCGUAGGAUUAGGUAGUUGGUGAGGUAAAGGCUCACCAAGCCGACGAUCCUUAGCUGGUCUGAGAGGAUGAUCAGCCACACUGGGACUGAGACACGGCCCAGACUCCUACGGGAGGCAGCAGUGGGGAAUAUUGGACAAUGGGCGAAAGCCUGAUCCAGCAAUGCCGCGUGAGUGAUGAAGGCCUUAGGGUUGUAAAGCUCUUUUACCCGGGAUGGUAAUGACAGUACCGGGAGAAUAAGCUCCGGCUAACUCCGUGCCAGCCGCCGCCGUAACAC
rnacentral:rRNA from 1 species